rnacentral:rRNA from 1 species
GAUGAACGCUGGCGCGUGCCUAAUACAUGCAAGUCGAGCGAACAGACGAGGAGCUUGCUCCUCUGACGUUAGCGGCGGACGGGUGAGUAACACGUGGAUAACCUACCUAUAAGACUGGGAUAACUUCGGGAAACCGGAGCUAAUACCGGAUAAUAUAUUGAACCGCAUGGUUCAAUAGUGAAAGACGGUUUUGCUGUCACUUAUAGAUGGAUCCGCGCCGCAUUAGCUAGUUGGUAAGGUAACGGCUUACCAAGGCAACGAUGCGUAGCCGACCUGAGAGGGUGAUCGGCCACACUGGAACUGAGACACGGUCCAGACUCCUACGGGAGGCAGCAGUAGGGAAUCUUCCGCAAUGGGCGAAAGCCUGACGGAGCAACGCCGCGUGAGUGAUGAAGGUCUUCGGAUCGUAAAACUCUGUUAUUAGGGAAGAACAAAUGUGUAAGUAACUAUGCACGUCUUGACGGUACCUAAUCAGAAAGCCACGGCUAACUACGUG